GCGUCGGUGGUUCAGUGGUAGAAUACCCACCUGCUGCACGGGUGACCCGGGUUCGAUUCCCGGCCGACGCA
rnacentral:tRNA from 1 species